rnacentral:rRNA from 1 species
UACGUAGGGGGCAAGCGUUGUCCGGAAUUAUUGGGCGUAAAGAGCGUGUAGGCGGUCCGGUAAGUCAGCUGUGAAAGUCAAGGGCUCAACCCUUGAAAGCCGGUUGAUACUGUCGGGCUAGAGUCCGGAAGAGGCGAGUGGAAUUCCCGGUGUAGCGGUGAAAUGCGCAGAUAUCGGGAGGAACACCAAUGGCGAAGGCAAUCCCCUGGACCUGUACUGACGCUCAUGCACGAAAGUGUGGGGAUCAAACAGG